rnacentral:lncRNA from 1 species
UGGACGGCGCCGUGCAUUCAGCGUGAUCGAAGGCGGCUCGUGGAUUCGGAUCGUGUGCUCGUGGAUUCGAGUGGUGUUUGUGGAUUCGGAUGUGAGCGAGGCGUUCGCGGAUUCGAACGUGAGGGUGUGGACAACCCGGAGGAUUGCGCGAGAUUCAUAUGAGGUUAAGAGAGGUCGAGUCCGUGGAGUCGGUAAUCACCUUGUAAUAUUUUCUCUUAGUGAAUUAUUUUUUUCGCGUGUUGGUCCCGUGGAUUUUUUAUUCCAAGUUUGAGUUUUCCCACGUAAAUCUCAGUGUGAUUUUUAUUUUCCGCAUCUACUUUUAUCGCAUUCAGAUUUGUGGUUUUUGGCCGUUACACCUAUUCACCCCUCUCUAGGUGUUUGAUACAAUCUAGAUAGAUUCUAGGGCUCCUCAUAACUUACACUCCCUCCUCCGCCACCUCACCCUCGCCCUCGCCCUCGCCCUCGCCCACCUCUCCGCCUAUACCCACCACCAUCUCCUCCCUACAAUCGCCGAAAUAGAGGGAUAGUGAGAGUGCUAGAGGAGCAAGGGAGCAGGUCGAGGAAACAGAGUCAGAGCUGGGGUUGAGGGAGGUGCGAGUGAGGGUGCGGGAUGAGCAAGAUUAGGGAGAAGACGAAAAAGAUUAAGGCAAGUUAGUUAUUUUGUCACACUGUACCCCCCUGCAAAUAUUUUUUUAUUUUUUAAGGAGGGCAAUGUGUAGGUUUUUGAAUGACAGGAGAAAAGUAAAAAAUUGAAUAUUGACAAGGGGGUUUCUGUAAUUUAACCAAUAUAUAUAUAUAUAUAUAUAUAUAUAUAUAUAUAUAUAUAUAUAUAUAUAUAUAUAUAUAUAUAUAUAUAUAUAUAGUAGGGCUACUAUGCUAUUAAUAGCACAGCUGCCCUCGUGCUCCUAAGUUUCUAACCAUCCAUCAAUUUUGAUGGGUGGUUAGGGUGAGAGAGAGAAAAGAAAUUUAGAAGAUAUUCAAAAAGAUAAGAAAUUGAUAACCUUAAUUUCUCUCUAAUAUCUCUUCUCUCUCUCACCUAUAUGUCAGUCCCCCGGAAAGGCAUUUGGACGCGUAACGCGCAGGCGAAGCCACCGAUAGGACCGGGAAUUCCUCUGUAGCGGACGUAGUCUCCCCAGUAGUACAAGGCGUGCAAUCCCAAAAUCACGAAUGUUUCAAAAGAAUAUAUAAUCAGAUUGCCUAAGGAAUACAAUAAUAAUCUAGCUUGCUAUUACACAUUCAUUUCACAAUCACGUUAACAUCAAUUCAGUUUACAUUUUUUAUUCCAAAUUAAAUCUCAAGUACUAAUAAGUUUCAAGUUGAUACAUUUUCUUUUUUGUUCUUAGACCUAAGCUAACUGUCUAGGGUACUGCUACGUUCGGUCUUGUGUGGGCGCUAUUACUGACUAAUGCCCUCGAUCGGCGCAGCGCCGCGCCGUACAUGAAUGGAACGAAUGAUAACGUCCCAAAACAAAGUGGGGUGAGAACAAUCAUGGUUCCAGUGGGUAACGGCACCAGGAAAAGCUCGACCGAUAGGUCCGAGGAGGCACUGCAACAUGUUAGUUCAACAAUAUACAACAGAUAUAUAUAUUCAAUUGAAAUACAUGACAUACCUCACAAUAUGCGAUAUGAAAAUCAUGCAACAACUAGUAGAUCAUUUGAAUUCUACUUUUAUUUGGCUACUUUAGCUCAUAACUUUACUCUAAGGUUUCUAUUACCUUAGGAUCACAACACCAACCACUAGCUUCUAAGGUUUCUAUUUACCUUAGGUCAAGCCUCUAUCUCUAGCUCAUAAGGGUUCCUCUACCCUAUCAUAGCUAACCACCCGACUCGACUUCGAGUCAAUCAUCUGCGGAUAGUCCGCGCACUGGCUGCUCAACAGCCUACCGCACUCUCUCUGACUCAGCCUCCCAGCGACGAAAUCGUCGCACACGCUGAACACGGCUCGAGCCACAAGACUUGACCAUCGGUGGCGAUCGCGUUGCACUUACCCAGCGUGAGCUCAAGACAUGACAUACUGUCUGGCGGCGAACGGGUGGCACCACACCCAACAACGGUCAUGUCAGACUCAGUCACCUGGAGGCACCCGCAUCGUACUUACCCAGCAUGGAUUCAGUCUACUCUGGCGGUCUGAUUCUCAAAUGGCUUAACCACUCUGGCGGCGAAAUCGUCGCACAAACGCCAGCACAAUGGUUCAAGCCCCGGGCGGUGAUCUCCAUAUGAUCGCCCCCAAUCUACCCACGGUACCGAGCUCGGCGGCGAAGUCGUCGCACGAACGCCCUAGCCUGUACCAGGGACAUCAUAAGUCCUGGGAUUCCGGAAUCCACUUUGCCACAGGUCGAGGGUCCAUAACAAACCCUAUACUGUCGACCUAGCUCAUCCUAGUGGUUAUACCACUAUACUCAUCAACCUAGGUUCCAAUACUCUAGGUUCUAUGUCAACAUCACUUAACCUAGAUACACUUGCUAGGUUCUUGUCAUCUUCGCCUAGAUGACCACUUCUAGGUUUACUAGUUCAACCUAGGUUUUACUAACACUAGGUCAAAUGCCACAUACCUAGAUUGUUCGACUCUAGGUUUACUAAUCAAUCUAUGUUCUUUAACACUAGGUUAGAUGCCACUCGAUCUAUCCGACAACCUAGUUGUCCAAUCAACUCUAUUUACACUAGAGUUAUCAUGUCACUUACUUAGCUCUCAUGAUGCUACUUUGCAUUCUCUACUUUAACUAGCAUUAUGUACAUGCUAUGCUCAUUAUGCUUUCUACUUAGUAUCUCCAUCUAUGCAUAAUUAAUACAUGCAUUCUUUACAUCAACUAGCAUUAAUUACUUAGCAUGCUUUCCAUUUAGCAUUUGCAUCUUAUAUUAAUCAUGCUCUCUACUUAACCUUUAUUAGCAUGGCUCUAUGCAUCAUUAUUUAACAUGCAUUUACACUAUGCAUUAUUAUCAUCAUGCAUUCCAAUUACUUGCUUGCAUUAUUCAUUUAUCAUGCUCAUCAUGCAUUCUUUACUUUACUUGCAUUUACUCUAUGCAUAUUUAUUAAUGCACCAUUUGGUCUUGUCUACAUGCACAUGCAUCAAUAUGAGAUUACAUUGCUAAGACAUAAAGGGCGACCUAGUCGCUUCGGUAAGCACAACCCACCUUUAACUCGCGUUCCGAUUGCUCGUCGACACUUGCAAUCGGCCUCCCGCGGCACUCGGCACCCUUUGGGCCCGACAAGCUCUUGCACCUCAACCGUGUUCCGCUUUACAAAUCCGGAAAUUAUAGGUCUUUGGUUAUGCGCCACGAUGCCACACGUCCGUUCCCACGAACAUACGACGCCGUCUCGGACCUACAGGCAAGAAUGAAGCCUCAAGGCUUAUUUCUUUAAUAACUUUAAAACGGCUCGACGAAUGCUCAAUCCGUCUUCGCCCACGCGUUUCUUGACCUAGCAAUUAGGUUUCCAAGCACUCAAAAUAGAUCAAAACCCCACAUUAGCAAAAUCCCCAUUUGGGAUGCCCUAAUGCAACAUAGGCUUAAUACCUCGGAUUUGAUCUAUAAAACAAGCAAAAGAAAGCUUGUUAAUCAUCUAGAAGCUCAUCUAGGAGCAUUCGAACUCAUUCUAGGGUGUUUAAAGCAAACCCUAGAAAUCCACCAUUAGAGCCUCAUGAAGAACACCAUGGAUUUCAUGUGUUCUAGGCCUCUACGAAGUUCUAAAGCUUGUAGGGAGAUCAAAAUCCAAAGAUCUAGGGUUUAAAAUCCAUUCUACAAAAAUCUACCAUGAGAGGCUUGGAAGCUUACCUCUCCUAGAGCUCCAAGGGAGAGAAGAAGAUGAAGAGGAUGAUGAUGGUGAUGAUCCUCUUCCUCUCCUCCAUCUUCUCCUUCUUUUCUUUUUUCUUCUUUUCUCCUUUUCCUUUCUUCUCUUCUCUUUUUUCUUCUCUUUUCUUGCAACCGGUUGAGAGAGGGAGAGAGACACGAGAGAGAGAGAGAGAGAACUGUGGGAGUGAGAGAGAGUGAGAUAAAACACUCUCUAAUAGUGUAUUGUAACAAUAUCCACCUAGCCUCUCAAUAUUUUCCGUUUUUCCAACUUAACCCACUGUUCUAGGUCCCUUGUACCGGUACACGGGCUCUUGUACCGGUACAAGGCCCGACAGACAGCCAAAAUCGAGAGCUAGCUCGCUCGGUUUCGCAGGUUUUGUACCGGUACAAGGCCCCCCUUGUACCGGUACAGCGCCGUAGCACUGUUCCGUGAUGGUUGUACCGGUACAGCCAUCAUGCUUGUACCGGUACAGCACCUGCAGAAUGCUAUUUUCACUUCUUUUCGGCUCUAUUUCGCGCCGCACGAUGUCAAGACCCUUCCAACUCCUUUGGAACUCACUUUUACUCUUCCAAUCAUGUUGGAAUACCAACGAAAACUUGUCCAUCCAUCUUCUUCGCAUACUUUAAUCGAUUUGGCUAAAGUUCGAUAAUUUCUUCCGAAACCUCGGGGGUUACACUAACCACCCAUCAAAAUUGAUGGAUGGUUAAAAACUUAGGAGCACAAGGACUGCUGUGCUCCUAAUAGCACAGUAGCCCUACUAUAUAUAUAUAUAUAUAUAUAUAUAUAUAUAGAGAGAGAGAGAGAGAGAGAGAGAGAGAGAGAGAGUGUGUGGGUAAAGCAAACUAAGUGUAUAUAGAAAGAUUAUGCACAGAAAAGCUUAUAGACACAGAACCAAAUGACAGCAUGUCACACCCCGAGGUUCCUUUGAAGUUUAAAAUCGAUGCAGAAGUGUCCAAAUUUUUAUUUUAUUUUUUUAAACCUUGACCACAGGGAAUGUCAGAUCAGCCAAAAAUACAGAAAAUCCACUGUUCACACGAACAAAGUCUCCACUAUAUUUGCACGGUGUCGCACAAGUAUAAGAUACAACCACAUCAUAUAAACAUCCAUAUACAAUCACCACAUCACAGAAACCAAUUCACAUUUAUUCAAUCACAAGAUUACAAUAUUUUCUUUAUAAAUUUACAUCUAUUAGUUUGAAACGUUUUCCACCCGGAAACUCAUUUUGAAAUACUAAAAAUCAUAAAAAGUGAAAAAUCCUUUCUAAAACCGUUUCCCACACGAAAAUCUUUUUCUUUAAAACAAGCUACCACGAGGGGUAGAAAAUCAUUUUCAUACUUCACAUGAAAACCACAAGUACUUUAUUUAACUUUCCAAAACCAUAUAUAUAUCCAACUGAAAAGAAACCAACUGAACUAUAAAAUAUCUAAGUUACAUUAUUCUAAAUAAGUAAGGAUAGAAACUAAACCAAUUUAAUCGGGACGGAAACUCUAUCGACCGCUACUAACGUGUCUCACGCCUCGUCGCACCCUCAUCGCCUACUUCACCUAAAAAAUAGUGGGGUUGAGAACAUGUAAACACGUCUCCCCUCCCAGUGGGUACCGCAAGUCGACGAAGGCGAGGAAUACUCACCGGUACAGAGAAAGAUAAUCAGAGUUAUGAGCAGAUAUCACAAAUACAGUAGCAAUAAUAACAAAAGGAAAGAAAAUAGUAAUAGAACAAAUAACUACCACUACUGUAAAGUCGAACAGAAUACAUACAUGGAUAUCAUAACUACAGUAGCAAUGAUGCAGGGGGUAAACAAUAGUAUAGAGGAAUGUAACUAGCUGCUACUGUAAUACAGAACAACGUACAAGUAUGGAUCAACGAGACGAUCAGUCCCAAAAAUACCCAAUCCAGAAGCUGCCAUAUCAGUCCAAAGACCUCAGGCUAUGCCACUACCGCUUUAGCAAGGAUGUGACCCGAGCAAUAGGCCGCUAGGGUCUCCCUGGCAUAGAACCCAACAAUAGGCCACUGAGCUCACAGGUAGGAUGUAUGACAACUUUUCCAAAAAAGAACACCCUCCUGAGGUGGAUCAGAUCGCUGGUGUAUGUGAAAUGCAUAUGAGAAAUGGCGAUCGAUGCAAUAUGCUCAAUAGCCCACUGUCGGCGAAUAGCCGAAGUAAAGUCCAACAAAGAGUAACUGACCAACUAAGUCAACCUCUAUCUCAAAGAUAGAACAAUAUCAGAGUAACCAACCAACCAGGUCAACCUCUAUCUCAAAGAUAGAAAAAUAUUACCAACCAAUCAUAUCAAAACAGUGCAGGUCAUGCAAUAGACCACUAGAAAUGGCACAGGCCACGAAGUCAACUAAUGUCAAAUCACAGCAUGUAUGAAUACGAGUGUCACUGACUACAAAGUCAACUAAUGUCAAAUCACAGCAUGUAUGAAUACGAGUGUCAUCGACUAGAAAGUCAACUAAUGUCAAAUCAUAGAUCAGUAUAAUCUAUAAUCAUCUGUCGGCAACUAGCCGACAAUCCUACCCGUCAGAGUAUACUGACCUCAUAGGUCAUCAAACGACAGAAGUCAUGUAACCGACCGACUAGGUCACAAGAGUGUCACAAUGGACGAGAUGCAAACAAUAUCCGCUCUACUUCUCGAAAAUGAUAACAAAUAUAGAAGAAGACUAAGUAGAGCAAUACAUAAAUGUUCACAUGGUGUCAGGUCCAAGAAUGGUAAACAACUGUAAUAAGAGAGAUAGAGCAGAGAGAAUAUCACCUAGCGUGUACCACUAGACCGACUCCGGAUCGAAGUAUCUACCUGUAUGAAUAACGCGCCUAUCUCGCGACUGUGGAAGAACAUCAACUAGACCUACGGAGAGUCCACCGGGUUAGAAUCCAACCCAUAAAUAUGAAAUACUAAACUCACAUCCCCACAAUUAAUCCCACGGGGAUCGGUUUCCCAAAACCGAUUACCGUUACUCGCCGGGAGUCCCGAAAAUCGCACUGGGACUCCGCCGGGACCCACGAAGUGUCCCGACACUCACUGACUCAUGCCAUGAGUCACCCAUUGCCACAAAACAUAUCGUUUUGGAUGUCUUGGCAGUAAACACAAGGUCAUAAAUCAGAACAAUUAUCGUCGGAUAAUCGUUUAGAUCCGGGUUCUCGGAAGUGUCAAUUUCGACACCAGAACCCACCAUUGCUCAUCCAUCAUCUUCGAACCCUCGAAACGACGUAACUGACUAGCCAACAAGGCUCAGUGACAAAUGUAAUGUGCUCGAACAUCGUCAGAAGGAAUCCGAACCGAAAUCGCGUUCCGUCGAUGAAUUUCGCCGAAAAACGCUCUGAAAAUCGAUAUUCGAUUUCCGCAAAGGCCUCGGACCUUGGAUAAUCAGUCCAGAGAUCACCCGCCACCCUCACCAACUACCCACAGUAGCCACGAAGUGAACAUUUGCAUAAAAGUCCCUACAAUCACAUAAAAUUAUAUUAUUUUAUGUGAUUUUUGGGGUUUUACUGCUUAACAGCACAAAUCAAAGGUUUUCGAGGCUGGCCGAGACACACAUUGAUAGGUCUCAACGUGCCGGAGGCCAUGCUCACGAUCCGGACCACUGUGGAGAGUGCGGGAGCGACACCAAGUUCAGCGAACUGCUCGCGCUGAACCUAAACCACGCUUACCUCGCAAACUGAGGGCUCGUUGACCCCAAAGGAGAUGAGCAAGAUGAUUGGCACUGAUCAUGAAUCAUCGUGCUCACUUCCGAAAGCAUCGGGGUGCCCUCGGGUCGCCGGAACAGCAAUCCGAACCGAAAAUAAUGCACAGAUAACAGCUUAAUAAAGCUUACCAUCUAGGGGGAGUUAGGGCACGGCCGGCGGCUGCGGGGCGGCGGUCGCGCCGGCGACGGGUGGGUGCGGCCGGUGGGUGGAUGCCAGGGCUCACGUCGGCUGGUGACGGAAGGUAGUGGCGGCGGUAGGCAAUGAUGCCCUAGCCGCACGGGUCAAGGAGGAGCUGGGCUCAAGUCCGACCGGCAGGGGGCUCCGGCGGCGGGGGCACCGGCGAAAAUAGGAUGCAGCCAACCAGGGGAAGCUGGCGCUCACACUAGUCAGCAGCGGUGGCGGCACGAAAAGAAACUGAGCCCGCACUGUCACGCCCCCGCCUCGAAACCCCUACCAAUUUGGCACGGUUCGGGCGCGGCGAACGUGCAGCAACUCCCCUGCUUGCCCAAGGCUCACAACCUGAUCAUGAACAAGAAUUUAACCAGAAAAAUUUAAAUUCAUACAUACACGAUCAACGGGGCGCAAGUGUAACAUACCAAAUUUUGGUAUAAAAAUAAAAAUAAAUAAAAAUAGUGUGAGAAACUAUUUUUAUUGGGUUUAUAGAAGUAAAGCAUAAGUCAGAAGUGACUUGUGCUGAAAUCGGAAUGAAAACAGAAGAUCUAGAAUUUUCUGUUGGAAACGGGACAGAGAAAUUAGCAGAAAAUGCACAGUCUCAGAAAAUUAUGAAAAUUGGAGGAUAAGUCAGAAAUAUUUUUAUGAGGCUAGAUUUAAAGUUUCAUAUUUUUCUGACACCCAUAGAGUGAGAAAUAAAAUCCGACAGUUAUCUGAUAAAGAUUACAGUUCGGUACGGUUUUCGGUGACCAAAUGACGUCGAAACUGGAAACUUAAAAUAUAUUCUUGCUCAGUACGUAAAACCGAACAUGACUGUCAAGUUUGAGCUCAAACGGACAUUCAGGGAGCUCCGGCGAAAGAUAUCAGAUUUCAAGCUGCCCGGGAGUGAAUAGUGUCGUGGGGGUAUUAUAAAGAAGCUGUUGCUUCUUCUUCUCCUUCGGCCGCACACCACACAUGCACACGACACACACACACACGCAAGGAAAGGGAAAGAGAGAAAACUCCUUUUCUCUCUCUAGAUCUCUCCCAAAAUUGAAGGUUUUGGUGGAGAAGCAAGCUUGGAAGUUGAUCUUCAUCUUCUUUAUCUUCUUCCUCUCCAUUAGAGCAAGCUUUGAAGGUAAGCUUCAAACCCUUUAAUGGCAUUUCUCUCUAGUUUGGUUUUUAAGCUCUAAGAAUGGAUUUAGAGGUAUUCUAGCAUGCUAAUUAGAGGUUUGAUGCUUGAAAUCAAGGCUCUAAUGGUGGAUUUUUACCUAUUGAAACCUAGAGCUCCAAAAUGAGGGCUUUAAUGGUAGAUCUCUAAAGAUAGGUCUAAAUGCUUUGGAAAUGGUUUUAGUGGAACCCAUUGAUGCCUAAUAGAUGAUUAAUGCUUGAAUCAUAGAGCAAUUUAAUGAUUUCUUGCAUAGUUGUAAACCUAGGGCUCAAAAUGCAAACUUUCAACAUAUGAGGGUUUGAUCUCAUUUGACCCUCCGUAAACCAAAUUGCUAGGUAACGAAACGCGUUGGCGAAGACGGUUCGGCAAUCCGACGAGCCGUUACAAAGUUAUUAAAGAAAUGGACGUUUAGGCUUCGGGUCCGCCGGGAGGGCCGAGGCGAUAUCGUAAAUUCAUGAAAAUGGAUUUGAAGCAUCGUGGCACAUAACCGAAGACCUUUAAUUUUCGGAUCGUGAAUUGGAGGCCGUUCGGGUGGUCGCGUGAGAGAUCGGGCCAAACCGGGUGCCGGGUGCCGCGGGCGGCCGAUUGCAAGUGUCGACAAGCAAUCGGAAUGCGAAAUGAGGUGGGUUGUGCUUACCGAAGCGACUAGGUCGCCCUUUAUGUCUAAGAAAUGAGAUUUCAUAUUGAUGCAUAUUGACAUAAUAUAAGAAUGUGAAAAGAAUGCAUGUUAACAUACUAUAGAAAUGCUAGAUGAAUGCAUAUGAUUAAUGCUUUGAAUGCAUAAUAUAAAGGGCGUAUGAAUGUUAGCAUUAUAAGAACAUCAUAAAAGGAAUGUAUGAUGACAUGUUGUAGAAUAUGCUAAAUGUAAUGCAUAAUGAAUUAAGUGCUAAAAGAAUGCAUGAGAUGCUAAGUAUGGACUAUUUUGGAUAAUGACUAUAUGUAUGUUGACAAAUCAUGUGAUGCUAGUGGUAUAUGUGCAUGAUGAUAUAUUAUGAAUUUACAUAUUGUGGAUUAUGUUAAAUAGAAAAACAUACUUGAUGACAUAUUGCCAUGUUGUGGAACAUAGUGGACAAUCUAUAUAUAUAUUAGAUCGAGUGGCAUUAAACCUAGCAUCUUGAACCUAGCAAACACUUGUGGUGAUUGAUCAUAUAUAUUCUGGUGUCAUUCAUGUAUGUUAGGACCCUAUUAUUGUGUAAAUGUGAGAGUUGGACUUGAACAUUAGUAAACAAGGGUGACAAUGACAAUAGAGACAUGAUUGGCAUCAAGAAAGUGAUUGUUAAACAUAGUUUAACCAUAUUGACAUUGGUCCAAGUUGACAUAGAGAGUGGCAUGAUUAAAUAGGUAGAGACCUAUCAUGACAUUGGCAUUGUGACGAGUGGCUAUGAAUCCUCAAGUUGAGGAUUGGAUCGAUACUCACGUUACGUCUUGGCUUGAGGGAGGUAGCUCCCCCUCGGGCGGUGCGCUCCGGAGUUGGUCACCACUGGGCGUGGUAAAGUCCCACCAGUUGACGGUCCCUAGGGAGGUUCGAGUCCCCCGUUAUUAAGGGAUUUGGUUGUGAGUUAUUGGGGUUAACAUGGUUAACCGGUAAGAUUGGGUCAUAGCCAAAUGAGUGUACAACAAGUAUGCAUUAUGAGUUAUGGAUUUGGUAUCCUAGUCGAGAGGAUUUAGGGCUGAGGUGUAUGUGAGACGUCCAUCGCCUCGAGCCUGGUUCUAGUGCGGUACUCCGCAGACGAUUGACUCAAGACCGAGUCGGGUGGUUAGCCUUGUAAAGGUAGAUGAAACUUUAUGAUUAAAACGGUGAUUGACAAGAAUCUAAGAUAGAGGAAACCUUAGAUAUCGAAUGGAUGAGCUAUGGUUAGCAGAAUUGAAAGUAGUGUCAAAUGAACUACUAGUUGGUUGCAUAGUUGCAUUAUUGCAUGAUUUGCAUAUAGCAUUGCAUUAUUGCAUUCGUGAGGCAAUGCAUGGUUUUAUUCGUUGCAUAAUCAAGAUAUAUAUCUAUCUGUUUAUUGAACUAACUUGCAGUUGCCUCCCUUGGACCUAUUGGUCGAGCUUUUCCCUUGGGUGGCCGUACCCACUGGGAACCAUGGAGUUGGUUCUCACCCCACGUGGUUUUGGGGUGUUACAGGUUCGCACGUGAGCGGCGCGGCGGCGCGAGGCGAGGGCGUAGCUCCAUAGUUAGCGCCCUACCACCGAGACCAGAGAUAGCGGUACCCUGAGUCGGCCUUACUUAGGGAUGUAAAGAAUGAAAAGAAUCAAGUUGUAAUAAUCAUGUUAAAUCGGAUUGUAUUUGGAAGUUAAGUGAAGGCUAAUGUAAGAACCAAUUGAGAAUUGUGAUGUAAAAAUAUAUGAAUAUGAAUGUAUGUAAUAAUAUAGGAUGUGUUUAUAUUGUUUGAUACCUUCCAUUAUGCAAUCUUGAUUGAAAUGUGUUCCUGGUUGGAACUUCGCACAUUGUUUUGAUUGCUAUGCCUUGAACGUACAGGGGAGACUCUGUCCGCAGUACAGGGGAAACCCUGUCUAUUCGGCGGUCUGUCGGCGGCGCCGCGAUCCGGCCAAAUAGGCGGGCGGUCGCGGGGCGUGACAGAUAAGAUGGUAUCAGAGCAUAAAAAGAACAUAAAAAGAAUAAUAGAAAAUGGUUUAGUUGGACCUAGGAAACCCUAGGAUAGUGAACCAUAGGAGAUUAAGGCUCGUGAGAGACGAGGACUUGUUUCUUUUGGCGAAAGGUUAAUUGAUUGGGUUAUGUUGUAAACCUCUAAAACGGAUGUUGGGGGUAGAUUCAAGGUGUGGUUUAUUCUCAACCGAGGGUGUUCAUGUUGGAUGCAUACAACAUGAAACCGAGUAAUGAGAAUAGACGACCUUGCGUGACUUUCGCCCGAUUUGAGUCGGUAUUAAGUGUUUCGUGUUCGACCUAGAAGGUCGAGGAUUAAUAAGGUCGUCGCGUUUUAGGGAGUAAUAGCAUCUCGUAGGCGAUCUUCAUUUAGAUCGGCGCGGGAUGGGCCAAGUGGUGUCCCUGGGCAAUUUGAGGCGAGCGGAGACUUGGAACUUCGCGAGUUUUGGCGUCCCUCGUGACUUUUGAGAAAUUAACGGGAUCCUCAUCGUGUUAAACCACUUUUGGUCGAAUUGACCAAAAUGUGUCGAGAGAAAUAGUUGCACAAGUUCCAAUUAGCAUUCCAACAAUGUUGGGAGGGUUAAAGUUGAGUUCCAAAAGAGUUAGAAAGGUUUUAGCAUUGCUCGGCGCGAGUUGGAGUCGAAGCGGUGCAAAAUCGAAAUUCUGGAACAUGUGUUACCGAUUUAACACCAGGGGGGUACCGGUAUAGCAUGGUUGUAACGAAGUGAAUUCUCGAGAGCCGAGAGUUGGACUUCGUUCAGGAUCGGCUAGUUGUUGAGUGGGUAUGUAAUAUACCGAAACUUCGGUAAGCGAACAUCGAACCUCAGUCAAAUUGACCAAAGAGCGAGGUUGGUACGCUUCGGAAAGGCCGAAGGCGUCAAAUAAUGCAAAAGUGCAUUACUGGGGAUCUUCGAGAGCUUUGGAAAUCAAAAUCUGCAAAACUGCAGAUUUUGUGCUCUCGGGGACCGGUCCCUGCCGGGAGAGACCGGUCCCCGCACUCACAGACAGCGAAAGGGAGGAAAAAUCGGCUAAGUCCUUGGUGGACAGCUCUCGGAGACCGGUCCCUGCUGGAGAGACCGGUCCCUGAGAGACCGGUCCCCCAAAGAAAGACCGGUUGCAUCGGGUGUGAGCUCUGCUGACUGCGGGGAGAAGCUCUCGGAGACCGGUCCCUCGUCGGGGACACCGGUCCCCGAACCCGAAAAUGGCCCAGUCAGGGCAGUGUAAAAGAAUAAAAGUUGAGGGGCUUGUUUGCACUUAUGCAACAUGUGGGGCUAUGUGAGGGGUAUGAGAGCUCUUUUCUCUUAUUUCUCACCCACACACCCUCUCAUAUCUCUCUUUCUCUCUCUAGCAGACAAGAAGAGGAAGAAGAAAGGAAAGGGAAGAAAAAGAAGAAGAGGGAGGUCUUCCUCAUCUUCCUUAUUUUCUCCUUGGUUGGAGCUUCUUUGAGAGGUAAGCUUCUAAGCUCUCUCCCAUGGUGGAUUUCUAGAGAUAGACUUGAUUGCUCUAGAAAUGGAGUUUUGUAUUAUGUGAGGGCGUAGUACCUGCCAGUACAGGUAUAGAGCCAGAUGGCACUAGCAAAGUGCUAGAAGUAAUUUAUGGCGAGAAGUGAGACUCGCGGUAGAAAUAGAAGCGUCGAAAUGACUCUCAAAGCAGUAUGAGUGGUAAAUUGCGAGAGUCGAGCCAUAACGCCUAUGGGCACCCGAGUAGUCCGAAAAUUUCGGAUGUCAUUCCGGUAAAUCGAACAGUGAAAGUAGCAUCACUUUUGAGAGAACGGUCGAUUAGUGGCCAAGUUUGAGCAUGUGGGCCUAGUAGUACCUCAAGGUGAGGUAGGCGGUUGUGCUCGUGCGGCCGGUGUGCAUAGGCAAGAUUGCCUAAUGCUGGACUUCGUGUGGAACGCUGUAGAGGCGUAGAGCGCUCGAGUGUAGAGACCCGCAGAGUACGGAUGCGUAUUCAGCCAAGUGAGUGAGUUGGCAGUAGCACUUGAGCAUUGCUAGGUGUGAAGCGUGCCAUGGAUCACUCGUGGGACUGGUGACUCGCACUAGGUGUAUAGGAGCCGAUAUUGGUACGUGUGACUCGGUAGAGUAUGUCGUGUAGGACGACGACGGCGGGUAGUGCUUGGGGACGACCCGUGCCUGGACCGUUUGUGGACUGUGGAGCCUGGGCCCAUUGGGCAGGCACAGUCAGCUGUGAGUGACAGCGGCCCGGUACCUACGGGUAGGGCGGAGUUCUAGUCAGGACGGUAGUCCGAGUUUAGGCCCGGGAGCGUGGAAUGCCACGCGAUAGAUUGUGUGACCGAUGGUACACCGAGUAUGGUUGUGACCCAACCCGAUGACUUGACGUGGUUUGGGGUCUUAGUUGCUCCUGGUUGGAGUGUGUGCGAAUUCCCAAGUGAGAAUUUCACCCGAUCAUGAUUGGGUCUACAUUUGCGAACGAGAGACGCUGCGUAUUGAGACAGGUUUAAGCUGUAAGCCUACGUAGGAUUGGUGGCCUUUGGUCCACCGGUGGAGACCGACAAGAGCGAUUUGGCAGAUAGCCUUAUCGAGGAGUUUGACUCGAAUUCACGAACGAAGUGCUCGCGUGAGCUCGUUGCGAGAAUAGUUUGAUGUUGAUCGUGGCAUGUGGUAUCAGAUGAUGAAGUACUCUUUGUGAGACAUCAAUCUAGUGGAAAGCCACAUGAUGUUGGAGACUAUGCUUGUAAGCGAACUGAGACUUGAGAUGUGCCGAAGUGGGCCAUCUCGCGUUAAAGUUAAGGGUCAGUGCAAAAUUAGAGCACUCAUGACGAAGCGAUGCAUCGGUGAUAUUGCUCCUAAGCAAUGUCGGUGAUCGAAUCAGAAUGUAUUCCCUGAAGGGAAGGUAAGUGCAAGAAAGAGUUCUUUGUGUACCGAAUGGCGAGUGGUGUUGGAGCGCGUAGAGUCGUCGAGUAUCGACUUACGCUGCCACCAUGACAUGCAAGACCCGUGAUGCACUUUUCUAUCACACCUUGCAAAUGUGUCUAGGAUUAAACCCACGUCCUUCAGUAUGAGCCGCUUCUGGAACCACGAUAGUGUGAAGCCGCUCCGGAGUGGGAAAAUAAGUUGGUACCCUCAAUUGCUCACAGAGCUGAAUUGAGGCGUGGUUUGAAUUUCGCGGACGAAAUUCUUUUAAGGGGUGGAGAAUGUAACAUACCAGAUUUUGGUAUAAAAAUAAAAAUAAAUAAAAAUAGUGUGAGAAACUAUUUUUUUUGGGUUUAUAGAAGUAAAGCAUAAGUCAGAAGUGACUUGUGCUGAAAUCGGAAUGAAAACAGAAGAUCUAGAAUUUUCUGUUGGAAACGGGACAGAGAAAUUAGCAGAAAAUGCACAGUCUCAGAAAAUUAUGAAAAUUGGAGGAUAAGUCAGAAAUAUUUUUAUGAGGCUAGAUUUAAAGUUUCAUAUUUUUCUGACACCCGUAGAGUGAGAAAUAAAAUCCGACAGUUAUCUGAUAAAGAUUACAGUUCGGUACGAUUUUCGGUGACCAAAUGACGUCGAAACUGGAAACUUAAAAUAUAUUCUUGCUCAGUACGUAAAACCGAAUAUGACUGUCAAGUUUGAGCUCAAACGGACGUUCAGGGAGCUCCGGCGAAAGUUAUCAGAUUUUAAGUUGCCUGGAGUGAAUAGUGUUGGAUGUUAAUGUAUAAAGAAGCUUUGCUUCUUCUUCUUCCUCCCAGCCGCACACACACACCCGCACACACACACACAACACACGCAUGGAAAGGAAAGGAGAAACCUCUCUUUUCUCUUUCUAAUUCUCUCCCAAAAUUGAUGAAAUUGGUGGAGAUUGAAGCUUGGAGAUGGAUUGCCUUCAUCUUCUUCAUCUUCUCCAUGGUUUGGAGCUAAUUGAGAGGUAAGCUUUAGCUACCCUUUAAUGGUAGAUUCUUAAUGGUUGGUUUAAAUACCUUAGAAAUGGAUUUAGAGGAAUCCUAGCAUGCUAUCUAGAUGAAUGAUGCUUGAUUCAUGAAGGAAUUUGGUGAAUUUUUAUCUAGUUGUAAACCUAGGGUUCAAAAUGCUAAUUUUCAAAAUAUGAGGGUUUGAUAUAAUUUAACCCUCUGUAAACCUAAUUGCUAGGUAAACGAACGCGUUGGCGAAGUCGGUUCGGCGAUUCGUCGAGCCGUUGCGAAGUUAUUAAAGAAACGGACGUUUAGGCUUCGUUUUCGCCUAGAGGGCCGAGGUAACGUCGUAUGCUCAUGAAAACGAAUUUGAAGCAUCGUGGCACAUAACCGAAGACCUUUAAUUUCCGGAUCGUGAAUUGGAGGCCGUUCGGGUGGUCGCGCGAGAGAUCACGCCAAACCGAGUGCCGGAUGCCGCGGGAGGCCGAUUGCAAGUGUCAACAAGCAAUCGAAAUGCGAAAUGAGGUGGGUUGUGUUUACCGAAGCGACUUGGUCGCCCCGCAUGUCAAAGCGAAAUGUGGAAUCUUGUUGAUGCAUAUGUGUAUGUGCAUACGGGCAUAUUAGCAUUGUAUAAAUGCAUGCUAGUUGGUAAUUUGCAUAUUAGUAUGUAUGCUUAGUGAAAUACAUGCUAGGAGCAUUUAGCAUUAUGAGAUUCAUGUUGACAUGUAUUAGAGAACGUGAGCAUAUAAAUGAAUGUUAACAUGUUGUUAAUUAUAUGAGUUAUGAGAAAUUGCUAAAUGUGGACACAUGUUAGAUGACAAUAAGCAUAUUGACAUUAUGAAAAUGCAUACUAUAGGAUAAUUGCAUAAUAAUGCAUUGGGAAAGUACAUGCUAGUUGUAAUGUAUGUUGGCAUUGAGAUGAUGUGUGUAGUUAACACUAAAAGAAUGCAUGUAAAUGACAUGAUGUACAACCUAGGCAAAUGCUUGGUAUGGUUGCUAUUUAAUAAUUAUCGUAGAAUGCAUGAUGAAUAUGCUAUGUAAAUGCUAGAUGAUUGCAUGAAUUGGAUCGAUAACUCUAUAAUAGAGACCUUGACAUUGGACAUCUAUAUAUUAGAUCGAGUGGCACUUAACCUAGAGUCGGGAACCUAGGUUGAACAUGGAUGAUAUGAGCCUAGUGUGAAUAAACAUAGGUUGGACAUGAACCUAGUGUCAAAGAACUUAGGUUGGAAUCAUGUGUGGCAUUAAACCUAUUGUUAAAGAACAUAAGUCGGACUUGGACAAUAGUAAACAAGGGUGACAAUGAAAAUAGAGACAUGAUUGGCAUCAAGAAAGUGGUUGUUAAAUAUAGUUGAACCAUAUUGACAUUGGUCCAAGUUGACAUAGAGAGUGGCAUGAUUAAAUAGGUAGAAAACCUAUUAUGACAAUGGCAUUGUGACUAGUGGCUAUGAAUCCUCAAGUUGAGGAUUGGAUCGAUACUCACAUUACGUCUUGGCUUGAGGGAGGUAGCUCCCCCUCGAGCGGUGCGCUCCGGAGUUGGUCACCACUGGGCGUGGUAAAGUCCCCCCAGAUGAUGGUCCCCAGGGAGGUUCGAGUCUCCCGUUAUUAAGGGAUUUUGGUAGUGAGUUAUUAGGGUUAAUAUGGUUAACCGGUAAGAUUCGGUCAUAGCCAAAUAAAUGUACAACAAGUAUACCUUAUGAGUUAUGGAUUUGGUAUCCCAAUCGAGAGGAUUUAGGGCUGAGGUGUAUGUGAGACGUCCAUCGCCUCGAGCCUGGUUCUAGUGCGGUACUCCGCAGACGAUUGACUCAAGACCGAGUCGGGUGGUUAGCCUUGUAAAGGUAGAUGAAACUUUAUGAUUAAAACGGUGAUUGACAAGAAUCUAAGAUAGAGGAAACCUUAGAUAUCAAAUGGAUGAGCUAUGGUUAGCAGAAUUGAAAGUAGUAUCGAAUGAACUACUAGUUGGUUGCAUAGUUGCAUUAUUGCAUGAUUUGCAUAUAGCAUUGCAUUAUUGCAUUCGUGAGGCAAUGCAUGGUUUUAUUCGUUGCAUAAUCAAGAUAUAUAUCUAUCUGUUUAUUGAACUAACUUGCAGUUGCCUCCCUUGGACCUGUUGGUCGAGCUUUUCCCUUGGGUGGCCGUACCCACUGGGAACCAUGGAGUUGGUUCUCACCCCACGUGGUUUUGGGGUGUUACAGGUUCGCACAUGAGCGGCGCGGCGGCGCGAGGCGAGGGCGUAGCUCCAUAGUUAGCACCCUACCACCGAGACCAGAAUAGCGGUACCCUAAGUCGGCCUUACUUAGGGAUGUAAAGAAUGAAAAGAAUCAAGUUGUAAUAAUCAUGUUAAAUCGGAUUGUAUUUGGAAGUUAAGUGAAGGCUAAUGUAAGAACCAAUUGAGAAUUGUGAUGUAAAAAUGUAUGAAUAUGAAUGAAUGUAAUUAUAUAGGAUGUGUUUAUGUUGUUUGAUACCUUCCAUUAUGCAAUCUUGAUUGAAAUGUGUUCCUGGUUGGAACUUCGCACAUUGUAUUGAUUGCUAUGUCUUGAACGUACAGGGGAGACUCUGUCCGCAGUACAGGGGAAACCCUGUCCGUUCGGCGGCCUGUCGGCGGCGCCGCGACCCGGCCAAAUAAGCGGGCGGUCGCGGGGCGUGACAGCAAGUAGUGCCAACAACGAAGAGCAAGAAUCCACUGGUGCAUACAAGUGAAAUAAAGAGAGUUUUACUAAUCAUUACAUUACUUGCAUCCAUUCUCUUACAUUUACAUUUUUUUCCAAAAUGAGUACAUGUCUACUAAUGUCAUCAAAAUACAUAGCUCUCCAAAUCCUCACCUACAUGAAUCUUUCUCAAUACAUAGGUGUGCUAAUGCAAAAAGAAAGCUACUACAUACUACUGCUCGGGCGCGAUGCCCUUGCCGCGGUCCUCGCCCGGCGAACUGGUACUAGGCCCUGGAAGUAAAGUGGGGUGAGAACUAUCUUCCAUAGUUCCCAGUGGGUUCGGCCGCCGACUCCGUCGAUCUUCCCACUAGGUCCGAGUGGGCAAAAGCAGGUAGAUAGAUAGAUAGAUAUCAAAGUUGUAAAUGACAUAAUAGAAAAACUAUGCUACUAUGCCCAAAGUCAUGUAUCAUGCAUGCAUGUAUCAUGUAGUGAAAUGUCACCUACUAUACUACCAUGUCCAACCAUAAUGUCCAAUAAGCAAUGUUCAAUUAACGAUGCUAUACUCUUGUUCAAUCAAUCCUUGGUGUUCCACUUGGGUUCGCCCACGACUCACCUCAAACCUCGUGGUAAAGAGACGCACCUCGCUCUUAAACCCGGAGCCGUCUGCAGGACAUCAACUCGUCCCUCUCGCACCAAACUCCGAAGUGCACGAAGACUCGGGUGGAGCGACCACCACAAGUAUAAACAGACUGUGAGUAUGAUCAAUCCUCUUAACUCGAGGAUACCCUAUCAACUCUAGGGUUACAAGUUACUCGGGAAUCCACCUAUCCCAAUGUCCAAAUACUAUGUUUGGCCUCAUCAUGUGUUUAUGCAACAAGUUAUUUUCUAGGGAAUCCACCUAUCCCUAAGUUCACAAGUCUCUAGUGUUAUUUACACUAAGUCAUAUACCAUUCGUCAUGUCUUUACAUUCAUCGAGUUCAUCUCUUUUCCUCGGCACUAUAGGAUUCAAAUGUCAAGACCCAAUCCUCAUCUAGCCAUAAUCAUGCAUUUCUACUCAUACAUCGAUGUCAAUAGCAAGCAUAAGGAAUGGAAAUACGAUGCAAUCCUACAAUGCAUAUGAAAGAGAUGCAAAUCAUAAAUGCUAAGACAUAGAAAGGAGCCCGGUUGCUUCGGGAUGACGCCACCUACCUUUCGAUGAUGUGGAGGGUUCAGAAAUGCUAUUCGGCGCACUUUACGACGAGGUCUCUACCACCUAGGUAGAAAUAAAGCUUAUUUAAUAUCAUUUGCCCAUAUCUUUUUUUCCGCUUGACGAAUAGCAAUUCCGACUUCGCCAACGCGUUUAAACACCCACCAAUUAGGUUUAGACGCCCUCAAAUGAGAUCGAUCCCAUCAAUUUCUAAAAACCCCAAAUUUUGGGUGCCCUAGGGUUAACAUCAUGCUAUUAGUACCAUAGAACCCUAGAUUCUAGCUCUAAUCCACUACUAUGGGUGCUAGAUGUCCAUUUGACCUCAACUCAAAAGCCAAAAACCCAAAAAUCCUAAGCUUUACCAUACUAGGGUUCAAGAGCUCACCUCUAGGUUAGCUUCAAAUGGAGAGAAGAGGAAGAGGAAGAUGCUCCAAGCCUUCUCUAGCUUGCUCUCCUCCUUCUUCUUCUUCUCAUUCUUUUUCUUCUUCUUCUUCUCCUUCUUAUCUUCCUCUAGAGAGAGAGAAGGGGAGGAAUGAGAGUGUGAGAGUGAGGGGUGAGAAUGAGAGAGAGGAGAAGGCUCAGCCUCUCUAUACCUCUCAACUAAUGGCAUUUUGCAUAAAAGCCCCUCCACUUUACUUCUCUCAACCUAGGCUGCCUGGGCAAUUUUCGCGCGGAGGGACCGGUCCCUGGUCGGGAGGACCGGUCCCCAAGAGCAUUCCUCCAAUUCUCGCGUACAGGAACCGGUCCCUGCCCGAGAGACCGGUUCCUGGGAGACCGGUCCUUUCCUGAGAGGCCGGUUCCCGAGAGUGGAAUUCUCAGGACUUAGCUAAAUUUUUGUUGUCUCGCUGGUUUCGGUUAUGGGGACCGGUCCCUCAGCCCUAGGGACCGGUUGCAUCAAGCAUCCCCACAACCACCAGCUACGGGGACCGGUCCUUCCCUACCAGGGACCGGUCCCGAAGAGCAGAAUUAGCCAAAUGCAUAUUUUUGCAUCUUUUGCUCUCGCGGACUCGACUCCAAAGCACUUUUUGUGUUUUGGACGUCUCUAGUUCUCCGAAGCCUACUCGCUCGACAAUUAGUCAAUUCUGGACGAAGUAUAACUCUCGGAUUUCGAGAAUUCACUUCCUAACAUCCUCCCCUCCUUAAAAGGAGUUUCGUCCUCGAAACUGAUUCAAUUUAAUUAAAACUCAGUUUCUAUACCUCAUUCCUCAAACAAGUGAGGAUGAUGCUUUCUCAUUAGAUCCUCGAGUUCCCAGGUGGCUUCGCGAUCAUCAUGAUUGCUCCACCAGAUCUUCACGUAGGGAAUCUCGUGAUUUCGCAGCUUUCGCACUCUCGGGCAAUGACCAUCACCGGGAAUUCUUCAUAGCUCAAGUCUUCUUGGAGCUCCGGCAGUUCAUAUAGCAUCGCGUGCUCGGGGUCAUGAAUGUACUUGCGAAGGUUGGAGACAUGGAACACAUUGUGUACAUCCGCGAGCUUCGGCGGCAAGGCAAGCCGAUAAGCUACCGUGCCAACUCGCUCCAAUAUUUCAUAGGGUCCAAUGUACCGGGGACUCAACUCUCCCCACACUCUAAACCGCUUCACACCCCGCAUUGGGGAAACCUUUAAGAAUACGCAGUCGCCAACCGUGAAUUCUAUGUCUCGACGGCGCCUAUUUGCAUAGCUUUUCUAUCUCGACUGCGCCGUGAGCAAUCGCUUGCGAGCAAAGCGGACUUUCUCCUCCGCUUCUCAGAACACGUCUCGGCCGAACUCUGCACGCUCGCCCACAUCGCUCCAAUGUAUAGGAGACCGACACUUCCGCCCAUAAAGAGCCUCGAACGGUGCCAUCUCUACACUAGUAUGAUAACUAUUAUUGUAGGCGAACUCGGCCAUCGGCAAAUGAUCACACCAACUUCCUUUAUAGUCUAAGACACACGCUCGCAACAUAUCCUCCAGAGUUUGAAUAGUCCUCUCCGUUUGCCUAUCUGUCUGAGGAUGAAAUGCUAUACUAAAAUCGAGCCAUGUGCCAAGGGCUUCCUGCAGGCUCUUCCAAAAGUGCGAAGUGAACCGGGGGUCACGAUCCGACACGAUCGACUUCGGUACCCCAUGUAGUCUCACUACCUCAUCAAGGUACACUUGCGCCAGUUUGUCACCCGCCCAAGUGGUGUGAAUCGACAAAAAGUGAGUUGACUUUAUCAAUCGAUCCACAAUCACCCAAAUUGCAUCAUAGCCGCCUCAUGAACGAGGCAAGCCGACCACGAAAUCCAUCGAUAUAUCCUCCCAUUUCCAAACGGGGAUUGGUAGGCUUUGAAGCUUACCCGCUGGAAAUCGACGCUCGGCCUUUACUUGUUGGCAUACUAAGCACUUAGCCACGAAGCGUCCAAUAUCACUUUUCAUUUUCGGCCACCAAUAGUGCAUUUUCAAUCCUUGAUACAUCUUGGUGCCGCCCGGGUGAUCACAAUAAGGCGACCAAUGUGAUUCUUGCAAGAUUAGCUUUCGGAUCUCCUCGUCGUUCGGCACACACCGUUGAUUUCGAAAUCGAAGUGCACCACUGGCGUCCACUGUAAAGUCGCCGCCACGACCCUUCUCGAUGUCGCACCGCGCCUUUUAGAGUUCUGGGUCCGCGGGUUGCAGAUUCUUGAUUCUCUCCAAUAAGGUCGGUUGGACAACGAGCGCCAUCAGCCGAGCCGGAAUCUUUCACCGGGUUUAGGCCGCCAACAGCCGCCGAACGGACAGGGUUUCCCCUGCGCUGCGUACAGAGUUUCCCCUGUACGUCCAAGGCGUCGCAAUUAAUACAAUACACGAGGUUCCAAUCAGGAACAGUAUUCAAGCAAAGAUUGCAUAAGGAAGUGUCAAAAACAUAAAUACAACUAUGCUAUUACAAGCAUUCAUCCCAGUUUUAAACUUACAUAUUACAAUUUGUUUUCUUCCAAAUACAAUCUAAAUUAUUACAACUUUUACAAUUUUGUUACAAUUUUCCUCUUUUCAUUUUCUAUACCCCUAGGCUAUGCCGACUCGGGGUACUGCUAUCUCUGGUCACUGUGGUAGGGCGCUAUCUACAGAGCUACGCCCUGUUCUCGCGCUGCAGCGCCGCUGACGUGCAAACCUGUAACACCCCGAAGCAACGUGGAGUGAGAACUAAAUCCAUAGUUCCCAGUGGGUACGGCCACCCAAGGGAAAAGCUCGACCCGCCAGGUCCAAGGAGGCAACCAACAUGUUAGUCCAACAGAUAGAUAUAAAAUCAUAUAAUUUAUGUAACUAACAUUUAACAUGCUUUUGCCUUACAAAUGCAAUAAUGCAGAUUAUGCAACCAUGCAGCUAAUGCACAAACUAAGUAGAUCAACCGAUUCUACUAUCAUCUAGCUAUCAAUAGCUAAUCAAACUAGCUUCUAGGGUUUUCCUCUACUUUAGAUCCAUGUCAUUUACCACUAGCCUUUAAGGUUUCAUCUACCUUAACCAUGCUAGCUAUUAAGUCUGGUGUGUUGGCAAGUUUCAUAGAUUGAGUCAGAGUCUUGAAGGAUCGGUGCGUAUCGUCGAAAAUCGAAGAAUCCAAGACUUCGGAGAAAUCGGAAAAUAACUCACGAUGUGAAUCACGAUGCUCAGGUAAGGUUUUAAUUCAUGUUAUGGUGAUUCAUACUUAGUUAUAGACAUUAAAAUCAGAAAAUCAAAAUUUAGUGGAUUAGAAAGUGCGUCGGAACUUUGCGAAACCCGAAACGUUGCAAAAAACUGAAAACUGCAAAGUGUACCGGUACAACAUUGAAAGUGUACCGGUACAAAAUGUGUUCCGGUACAACCAUCAACAUGUAACCAGUUUCAGUGCUUCGUUGGUUUUCUCUUCCGUCAUCGUGUAACCGGUAACAACUUAAAAGUGUAUCGGUACACAAUGUAAAAAUCUGAAAACUUUCUGAUCCGACUCCAAUUGAUUCUAAAGUCUAUAAAUAAGCUAUUGGGAUUCUCUAACACAUCAAGCAUCACGAAAAUACAUAUUUGAGAAACCCUAGAGGCUCGGAUUUUAUCUAAAACCUAUUUUCUAUAUAUUAGCCUCUUUUAGGUCAAAUCGAGAUAUUGUAAUUCAAUAUCUAUAUGUCGAUUUGAUCUCUUCUUCGCUUGGAGCUUUCUUCCCUCGUUUUCAUCAAUACUCUAAGUGAAAGAUCACCAUACUCAUGAUGCUCUUCAUGAACGGCGUCGUGGAUUCGGCGUGAUCAAGGGAUUCGAGGAUUCGGAUCGAAAGCUUUGUGGAUUCGAAGUGGUAGAGCUUCGCGGAUUUGGAGUGGAGGCGUUUCGUGGAUUCGGAACGUGGCAUUCGUGGAUUCGAACGUGAGGGCAUGGACAACCCGGAGAAUUGCGCGAGAUUCAUAAUAGGUUAAGAGAGGUCGAGUCCGUGGAGUCGGUAAUCAUCUUGUAAUCUUUUCUCUUAGUGAAUUAUUUUUUCGCGUGUUGGU